UCUAAUAUGGCAGAUUAGUGCAAUGAAUUUAAACUUCAUAUAUAGAGAUAUUUAUCUUUUAUUAGAA
rnacentral:tRNA from 1 species